AGUGAACGCUGGCGGUAGGCCUAACACAUACAAGUCGAACGGCAGCACAGUAAGAGCUUGCUCUUACGGGUGGCGAGUGGCGGACGGGUGAGGAAUACAUCGGAAUCUACUUUUUCGUGGGGGAUAACGUAGGGAAACUUACGCUAAUACCGCAUACGACCUACGGGUGAAAGCAGGGGAUCUUCGGACCUUGCGCGAUUGAAUGAGCCGAUGUCGGAUUAGCUAGUUGGCGGGGUAAAGGCCCACCAAGGCGACGAUCCGUAGCUGGUCUGAGGGGAUGAUCAGCCACACUGGAACUGAGACACGGUCCAGACUCCUACGGGAGGCAGCAGUGGGGAAUAUUGGACAAUGGGCGCAAGCCUGAUCCAGCCAUACCGCGUGGGUGAAGAAGGCCUUCGGGUUGUAAAGCCCUUUUGUUGGGAAAGAAAAGCAGCAGGUUAAUACCCCGCUGUUCUGACGGUACCCAAAGAAUAAGCACCGGCUAACUUCGUG
rnacentral:rRNA from 1 species